UGGGGAAUAUUGCACAAUGGGCGCAAGCCUGAUGCAGCCAUGCCGCGUGUAUGAGGAAGGCCUUCGGGUUGUAAAGUACUUUCAGCGAGGAGGAAGGCGUUGUGGUUAAUAACCGCAGCGAUUGACGUUACUCGCAGAAGAAGCACCGGAUAACUCCGUGCCAGCAGCCGCGGUAAUACGGAGGGUGCAAGCGUUAAUCGGAAUUACUGGGCGUAAAGCGCACGCAGGCGGUCUGUCAAGUCGGAUGUGAAAUCCCCGGGCUCAACCUGGGAACUGCAUCCGAAACUGGCAGGCUAGAGUCUUGUAGAGGGGGGUAGAAUUCCAGGUGUAGCGGUGAAAUGCGUAGAGAUCUGGAGGAAUACCGGUGGCGAAGGCGGCCCCCUGGACAAAGACUGACGCUCAGGUGCGAAAGCGUGGGGAGCAAACA
rnacentral:rRNA from 1 species